AAAUGCUUCAGUAGCAGGUCAUUGGGGGCCCAAGGGGACAGAGCCAGUGGACCUUUAUCACCUUCUCAGAAGACAUUGGUCUUCUAAGGGCAUUAAAACUCCAUUUCGAGUACCUAACUACCCCCAGAAAUAUUGGGGGUUAGAUUUUGCACCAUAGUGUACAAUUUUCUUUUAUUAUUAUUAUAGAAUAAAUAUUACAUCCUAGGCACUGAAAGCAAACCUCAAAGCUUCUGUCCUAGGGAAAGAGAGAGGGUACAGGUCACAGGGAAAAAUUCAGGACAGGAGUAUAGCAAGUGCUCUGAUUCAUGGGUUCAGAGGGGACUAGGAGCUCCACCCUGUCCUGUGUGGGUGUAUUUCUGAGCUGCUCACCAGCAAGCCUCACUCAUAAGCUUGGGCCAGGAUCAUCUGCCCUUGGGAUGCCAUAGGUUCUGGUUUCAGAAGCGGAACAAUAAUGCUAAUUAAAAUGUCAUAUUCUGGCCUACAACAGACAACAGCUGGUUUUAGAUUAAGAAAUCUUUUUUAAGGAAUUGCAUCGUACUGGCCUGCACCGACGAUGAACCUGAGCUGGCCCUGGCCUUGCCACACAUGUAUGUACUAAGUCGCUAGCCUUUGCCCUCAGGGACCUAACUGGGAUGGGCCGGGCUGCGUGGAAUGCCAGUGUUGACUGGUGCGUGCUCAGUUGUGUCCGACUCCAUGACCCCAUGGACUGUGGCUCACUAGGCUCCUCUGUCCGUGGGAUUAUCCAGUGGGUUGCCAUUUCCUUCUCCAAAUGCCAAGGUUGGAAACCCUUUUUUGCUAGUUAAGUUUAGGUAGCUAUACAUAUUCUUAUCUGAUGUAUUUUAGCAAGGCUCACACAUGUUUAGGCAAAACCCUCCUUUUCUGGGAAAAUUAAGGAGGAAAAUAUCCACUUUUGUCCUCAGACUCUCUGGUUCCUUCCUGCAAGUGAUGCUAUCCUGUCUCUUCUUACUCGGCAUCGUGAAGGUCAGAACUCUGGCUUCUCUGCUGAACCUUCUAUGCUUCCAGCUUGUGGGUUUUAGGAGUUUCUCUGCUGCCUCUGGAGAGAGUGGCCAUCAUCCUGGCCUGUGCUGACCAGGACCGGGAGCUGGAAGAGGCCACCAGCCUCUGUGCUCUCACUUGCCAAAGGGUGGCUGGUAGCUCUGUGAUCCGGCUUCCUCCUGGGACAGUCCCUGAGGAUCCUUGCCACUGAAGGGCCGCAGGCUCCUGGCCACGAAUUCUCAAGGUGUGAUUGCUGGACUCAAGUCCAAGACCCCUUGGUGGUAGAAUUAAGAAGUCAAUGAAGCAGAGUCCGGGUCAGGAAGUGGUUCACUCCUGGGGGGACUCUUCCUGACUCUACAGUCACAGAACCCGGCCAAGAGGGUGGAGGUCUCGAAGGUUCCCCAUUGUCUAGCUUCCCUGAGCCUGGUGGGUUUCCUCUGCUCUCCCAGUGGCGGCUCCGGGGUAAGCUGUUUUCUCCAGUUCUGUUGGUCAUCUUCUGCUGCAGCAGCUGAAGCCGCAGUACGCCAUUCCCCGAGGAGCCCUGGCUCGGGGAGGCAGAGGCAGAAAACACCCAAGUGGCCCCACGCCACUUCCUGAGGAGCCAUCCUGGUGGAAGUGCCAACCGGAUUGGCAGGCAGCGGCCGUCGAGGGAGGCUCUGGAAGAGACUUGAGCUUUCCACUGAGGGCCCGGAGGCGUGUGAACCCUGGAGGCUGGCUGCUCACCUCACCCCAGAGCUCUGUCCCAAGCCCCAGGGCUCCUGUGCUAGGCCAGUGUUUGCUUCUAAAUGAAACGGGGGCAGCUUUUGGCCCCACUCUGCCAGCCAGGCCCGGUGAGAUGAUCUGAACCGGUUUCACUGAGCUGCUCCUGACAGGACAGUGAGGCAGGCCAGAUUCUGCUCUCACUUGUGAGGUUUUCCUCUCUCCUAAGCUAAGGGGUUCCCUGGUGGCUCAGUGGUAAAGAAUCCACCUGCAGUGAAGGAGGUCCAGGUUCAAUCCUUGGGUCAGGAAGAUCCCCUGGAGAAGGGAAUUCCAACCCACUCCAGUAUUCUUGCCUGGAGAAUUGCAUGGACAGAGGAGCCUGGCGAGCUACAGUCCGUGGGGUCGCAGAGUCGGACAUGACUUAGCAACUAAACAACAGUGACAUCAUCCUAAACGAAGCUCACAGCCUCUCUCCCACCUCCAUUAAAUAGACUGUCAGGGCUCCCCAGCCUCAGGCUUUGUGAUGUCCAGCCUCUCUCCCACCUCCGUUAAAUAGACUGUCAGGGCUCCCCAGCCUCAGGCUUUGUGAUGUCCAGGUUCUCUCCCACCUCCAUUAAAUAGACUGUCAGGCCUCCCCAGCCUCAGGCUUUGUGAUGUCCAGGUUCUCUCCCACCUCCAUUAAAUAGACUGUCGGAGCUCCCCAGCCUCAGACUUUGUGAUGUCCAGGUUCCCUCCCACCUCCAUUAAAUAGACUCUCAGGCCUCCCCAGCCUCAGGCUUUGUGAUGUCCAGGUUCCCUGGGACAGGGUGUGGGCUGUCUAGGCAACAUUGUGCUACAGCUUUUUCAUGUCCAGCUCACCACUGCUUCCAACACAAGGCAGGUGACGGGGCAGCUUGCCCCCUCUCCCAGCUUUGCAGGCAUCUUUCCUUUUCAAGAAAUUGUUGAGUCACCCACCUCUGUGUCUGGCAUCUCAAAUUUAACAGCCUUUGUAGGGUAGAGUUUUUUCCUUUCUUCUGCUCCCAACUGGUUGGGCCCAUGGUUACACUUCUUUGCAGCCUCCCUGAAGGGCAGAGCUGUCAGGCGGAGACGAGGAAAGGGAAGGAUGUCUGGGUGCCACUCGAGAGGUACUAGGCAGCUAUGUCUGAUAAGAGGUUUUCCCAGCAAAGCACCUGCUCACCCACAGCAUCUUGGGAGCUGCCUGUGGAGACAGCUGCCAACGGAGCUGGGACUGGAAUCUGCGUGUCUUGGACCCAAGCCUCCAGCCACUCCAUCCACCCUUCAGAGCCUUCCCUUCACAGAGUAUCAAUGUGAGCUCUUAUUUAUAGCUGCCAACUUCUAUCAUUAACUACUAUGCCCAAAGAAUGUCUGGUUUUCUGGUAAUCACAGCUGAAGAACAACCAACUCGUUACUGACCAAGAUGAGGGAAUAAUUCAGUCAUUCGGUUUUCUAAUUGUUCAUUCACUCAUUAAAAUGUACUCUUUGCUAGAACCUGUGCUGCGUCUGAGACAGAGUGGAAUAAAACACAGUCUUGACCUCCAGGAACUUGGGUUCCCGUGAGAGUUCUUGGCUCUGUAAGAUGGUGUGAGUCCAUCAGAGGCCUAGGGCUCCACACAGGUACGUUUGAGUCCUGACUGCGCAGGAAGAGUCCAUUACGUGAACACCACCUUCGCUGGUGCCCAGAGGACGCAAGCAUUGUUUGUUUCCCGUUCUCAUAGCGCCUUCCUUUGAGUUGAGCCCUGGGCCUUCCUCGGCCUUGAGGGAUUCCACUCCCUUGCCUUACUUUCCUCAACCAGAAAUUGAAGAUGGCAAGAGUGUUUCGACCCGGGUGGCUGAGAGGCAGUGAUGUAUCAGAUCUCUCCCCUCUCUACCCAGAGCCCUGGCCAGAUUGUACCUGGUGGUGCUGGCAGCCGGCCCUCUUCCGGCCCCUAUUUCUGCUCACCCUGUUACCAGAGAGCCUGGGGGUCUGGAUCCUAUCCGGCCCCGUCAGGGUAGAUUACCAGAUGAGUGGCUCUUUUGCCCCAGUGCCUUUCCUGUGCUAUAAAUAAGCCCCGU
ensembl:lncRNA